UGUAAUUAACAAUUGUCAUCACUAUUUGGUAAAACUUCAUUAGGUUUAGCUCAUUUUCAUAUUUCUAGUUUUCUAAAGAAUCUAUUCUUUAAAGAUUUUAACUGUGAUAUAAUCAGUAUAACCUAACAUUUUACUUCCUAGUAACUUAAUUAAUGUAGUAAUCUGUUUUCCGUAAAAGAUUGGAGCAAAUCUUCAAGAAAAAUCUACAGACCAUGAUUAUAAAGCACUGACCACAUAGACUUAAAUUAGUUUUAAUGACAUACACAGGAGCCAACAACAGAAUAUGCUGAUGGAUUGAACGUUAAAACCUGCACCCAGGUCUUUAGUAAUACCAUAGGAUCCUGAAGGGACAAUAUAGCAAAAUGGGAUAUUGGAAUCCAAAAUAAAUUACUUAGUGACGCUCAAUAUGGAGCUGAAUUCUUGAGAAGAAAUCUUGAUUCUGUACAGACUUUUUGAUAGCCUCAAUGGCCAAACUUACUCAAAAUGUGACGCCAAACCUGAGAGAAGAACAAUUUCAGCAGUUUCAAUGCAUGAACAAUUUUGGAUCUUAUACAAAUCUUAGGGUGCUUUUAAAUUCAUAAAAACAGCAGAAACAGAUGACUGGGUAAGAUCUAUAUACCUACAUCCAGCUUCUUAAAGAAAACAAAGCGAGCACACGUAGGUGUGCAAAGUGGCAAGACCACAUAUGCCUUAUGAGCCACGCAGCAAAGAUUUUUAUGAGAAUCAUUUUCAACUGCAUACCCUCUAAAUACGAUAGCUACGUAAGCGGAUCCCAAUACGGAUUCAGACACAAGGGAAGCCAUGUUGGCGGAAAGAUUCUUGGAAGUAAAGAUAAAGUUAUUCGUCUAUUGGUCUGUUUUGGAAACUGUCUGUAGUCCUUCGACCACAUUCACACGCGAAGCUAAUACCAACUCUAACCAGUAAUAUAUGCUUCCUAGUCUUAUAUGGCUUUGAGAUGGUGAAGCAUUAAAAACUGCGGAAGGUGAAUGCCUUUGAAAUGUGGAUAUGCCGACGAAUUCUCCGUAUAGUCUGAACCACUACUUGCAAAAGUUUUAACUAGAAUAAAUAUCCGCUUUCAGUUAACAAGUAUCAUAAAGAUAAGAAAAAAAGCCUAUCUGGGACAUAUAAUGCAGCACCGGGAGUAUGAGCAAUUACAAGUUAUACUGGAAUGAAAAACUGAAGGUAAACGAGGCUUAGAGGAAAAGAAAAAGUCCGGGUUAACAUAAAAGACUGAACAAACUACACAAAACCCCAUAGUGGUCGCCACUCGCCAACCUCAACAGAGACGCCACCUGAGAGGAAGAGGAUUCAUUUAUGUAUUAGUGUCAACAAGUACGAGUUACGAGUACUCAAGAAAAGGAAAGGUUAAGACGGGAAAAUUUUGCGGGAAAAAUAAAGGCCGGGAAAUGAUUUUUUUUUCAUGUUCUGAAGAAAACAUGCAUAAAGCAAUAGAGGCUGUAAAAAAUGGAAUGACCAAGAAGAAAGCUUCAAUAGAAUUUUUUGUUCAUCGCACCACCCUUAUAAGAGAAUUCUCAGGAAAUGUUCCAAUUCUAAGAAAAAUGGGACCCUCAAGUGAGUUUUCUGAGGCAGAGGAAACUGCCUUUGUAGAUUGGAUAUUAGUAAUGGGUAAAAAAGGGUUCCCAGUCCAAAAAGAAAAUUUAAUACAGUCCGUGAAAAAUUUGCUAGAACACAAUAAAAGUAUACGGUUUUUUAAUCAAGAGACUUUAACUCCAGACAGAGCCUGGUUUGAAGGUUCUUUAAGACGGCAUCCAAAUAUUAAACAAAAGCAUGCGGAGACAGUUAGUACGGCACGUGCGGAAGUAACCAAAGACAGGAUUCAAAACUGGUUCGAUGAAAUACAUGAUUAUUUAAAAGCCAACCAUCUAGAACACAUACUUACUGAACCGAGUAGAAUAUUUAAUGCGGACGAAGCUGGGUUUGAUUUAUGUCCAAAAACUGAUAAAGUUUUUGGUCCAUUGAAAAAUGAAAAAGAUUUCUAUGAAAGAGUUUGCAAUCAAAAAGAAAAUAUAACAGUAACGGCAACGUUUUCUGCGGAUGGCAAAGUCCCACCACCCAUGUUAAUAUUUCCCUACAAAAAAAUACCAAAAGCUAUAGUGGAGUCUGUUCCUACAAACUGGGCACUUGGGCGUUAGUUCUAAUAGCUCUUUUCCAAAUACGACACAGAUAACACAACCUAGCAAUGUUUCAGUGUUCAAAUCUUUAAAAUCUGGAUGGAAAUCUGCUCUCAGUGAUUGGACAUUUGAAAAUUUUCGAAAAGAUACUAUUAGAUACACAUUUGGUCAAAUCCUUAAAGGUGUUUUUGAUAAAUAUGCCACAGCUUCAACAAUAGCGAAUGGUUUCAGGAAAUGCGGUUUGUACCCUUUUAACAAAAAUAAUGUUGAGUAUUCAAAGUGUAUUCCGAGUCGAUUAAUAACAUUUUCUAAGGAAAAAGAAAAUUUUCCGAAAGACUUUAACCUUAAAGUUCUUGAAAGAGUAAAAAGUAAAAUUGACGAACAUGAGCAUUACCAAUUUUUGGAAACUUAUAAAAACAAAACCACCUGGCAAGGAUGUUCUAAAUCACACAAUUUAUAUACACUGUGGUAUUCUUUAAAAGAGAAUUCAGUUCAAGUUCCCCUAUUAGAGCUGAAGAUGAAAUUCUACUCCAAAUAUUAAUUUAGAUGAAGAUAAAGCACAAGAAAUGCCAGAACAAACCAAUGGUUUUUCACAAAUUUCGAAUUCUCCAGUAGCAUCUACAAAUAACAUUCUAGUUCAUGCGUCCCCGACUACGUUUUUACCUGCCAUGAAAAACGUAGAAUGGAAUACACCAGAAGAUGUGAAUCGGUACACAUAUGAAGAAAAAGAAAAUGAAGGUUUAAAAGUCCCAACGCCCUUCAAAAAGUGUCUACCAUUUCGAAAACACUAGAAAACAGAAUUACGCCUAAAAGAAAGGUCACUAUUUUUCCUGCUGCAAGACUUUUAUGCGUCAAAGAAGUUUUAAAAAAAUGUGCCAAAAACAAAAGCAAAAAAAGGAGCUGUACCAAAAGAUGAUAGGUCUUCUGUCAGGCAUUGAAGUUCCCAAGAUAAUGACCCAAGUGAUACAGAAACAGAACUCGAUUUCAAGGAAGGAAAAUAUGUUAUUGUCACGCAUGAGGAAGAAUAUUACCCAGACAAGUACUACUUACAUUUACACAUAGACAUUUUAUUUAUCAAUCCAUUUAUUUUGCCAUAGUGCAUCCCGUGUA
rnacentral:lncRNA from 1 species